rnacentral:lncRNA from 1 species
AAACCCUGGCCUGUUUCUUUUUCUUCCUCGUCUGGCUAGGACUCUAACCGAGCCGCACCACCUCUCUCCCACGAUGGUUCCUGGGUUUCUCUCCCGGCCUUCCUUUUCACUUGCCUUAGCUUGUUUUAGACGCCAACCAAACGAAAUAGCGUCUUUUCAACGCCAAAUUGCCCAACACUAUAAAAACCGUUCCCUUUACUCACAAAAUCUUAGAUCUCAGAUUUCAGAUAUCAAAUCUCAGAUCGUUUCUUACUCUCUUUGAAGAAAUUGUGUUGCGAUGGCUGAUUUUCGUCUUCAAGACCUUUGUCAACCUCAACUCACACAAAUCGCUGCUGAAAAUACCAAAGCAGUUGCAGAAGAAUACUUUAAGUUGGGAAAUAUCAACAAGGCCAUCCAAUAAGGAUUCGCAGCACUUGAUUUGAACCCUGAGUUACGAAUGGUCCAAAAAUGCACUGCAGCUUAUCUUGUUCACAAGUUUGAUUUGAUGCUAUGCUUUUGCCAGAAGAUGAAGAUGGACGAUACUGAAGUCCUAUAUUCGAUUCUUUUUAUCGAAGAUUGUUCUGCCGUAGUUGAUGCUGCGACUAUUAGAAAACACUACAAGGAAGUGGUACUAUUGGUCCAUCCGGACAAGAAUGAUUCAGUUGCAGCAGAUGGUGCUUUCAAGAUCGUUCGUCAGGCUUGGGAAACUCUCUUAUCUGAUCACAAAAAAAGAAGAAAGACUCGAUGAGGAUGAAGUUUUUUGGUUUGGAUUAGAUUCAUUUUGAAUGUAUUCAAAUUUUUUUAUGAAUAAUAUGUAGUUAGUUUUUAUUUUGUUCUGAUUUUGUUACUUUUUUUAGAUUCAAUUUGAUUUUGAUUUUUAGUGUCAGUCCAAUUUCAUAAUUGAUCACAAUUAUGAUUAAGCAUUCCAAGUUGAAAUGCUACCAUCAUCAAUCCAUAAUAUAAUAUACAGAGUAAAUUGAAGCAAAUUAUUUGAAGAAUAUUCUGUUGUGGGUUUUUUUAGGGGUGAUAGUUUGUUGAUUAUUCAUUAUCUCAAUGUCAAUUCUUUUUUUUUUGGCNAUACAUCAUUAUAUUUCUUUUUCUGUAACUAAUUUAUAACAAUAAUAAUCUUAAAAAUUAUUAAAAUUAAUAAACAAUUCUUGAUUCUACUAAUUUAAAUUUUUUAUACAAAACUUUUAACAUCAAUUGUUCAUAAAAUUUACAAAUCUGUCGUGUAUAGUCUGUAUUUUUCUAAUUUUAUAAAUGAAAAUAAAAAACUACAAAAGUAGUAUGUUAUAACGAUUAAAUACCUUUAAUUAUAAUUAUUCUCAAUCAUAAUUUCUUAUUGCAAUGAAUACCAAAUUGAAUUUUGGUUCAAGAAAGAUAAGAUGCAUUUUGAGUAGAAAUUUUAAAUUCAAAUCAUAGAGUUCAUCACGUGAAAAAGAAAAAAAAAAUUUUUUGAAUAAUUUUGAGAGAAAAUGACGUCGUUUGUUGUUAGUCACUUGAAAUGAGUGAAAUGACGUCGUUCCUUCUUAAUGCUUAUUUCCCUCCUGCCACACGGUGUCGUUUUAGCAAGUGAUAAAACCAUCCCUUGAAACCCUGGCCUGUUUCUUUUUCUUCCUCGUCUGGCUAGGACUCUAACCGAGCCGCACCACCUCUCUCCCACGAUGGUUCCUGGGUUUCUCUCUCGACCGUCCUUUUCACUUGCCUUAGCUUGUUUUAGACGCCAACCAAACGAAAUAGCGUCUUUUCAACGCCAAAUUGCCCAACACUAUAAAAACCGUUCCCUUUACUCACAAAAUCUUAGAUCUCAGAUUUCAGAUAUCAAAUCUCAGAUCGUUUCUUACUCUCUUUGAAGAAAUUGUGUUGCGAUGGCUGAUUUUCGUCUCCAAGGUCUUUGUCAAUCUCAAUUCACAGAGAUUGCUGCUGAAAGAGCUAAAGUAGCUGCAGAGGAAUAUUUCAAGUCGGGAAACAUCGACAGAGCUAUUCAGCAAGGGUUCGCAGCACUCGAUUUGAACCCCAAUUUACGGAUCGUGCAGAAGUACAUUGCCGCCUAUUUGAUUCACAAGUUUGCUUCUAUGUUAAGUCUUUGCCAGAAAAUGAAGGUAGACGAUACCAAAGUUCUGUACUCCAUUCUUUUUAUCGAAGAUUGUUCUGCCGUAGUUGAUGCUGCGACUAUUAGAAAACACUACAAGGAAGUGGUACUAUUGGUCCAUCCGGACAAGAAUGAUUCAGUUGCAGCAGAUGGUGCUUUCAAGAUCGUUCGUCAGGCUUGGGAAACUCUCUUAUCUGAUCGCAACAAAAGAAGAAAGACUCGAUGAGGAUGAAGUUUUUUGGUUUGGAUUAGAUUCAUUUUGAUAUGUAUUCAAAUUUUUUAUGAAUAACAUGUAGUUAGUUUUUAUUUUGUUCUGAUUUGGUUACUUUGUUGAGAUUCAAUUUGAUUUUGAUUUUUAGUGUCAGUCCAAUUUCAUAAUUGAUCACAAUUAUGAUUAAGCAUUCCAAGUUAAAAUGCUACCAUCAUCAAUCCAUAAUAUAAUAUACAGAGUAAAUUGAAGCAAAUUAUUUGAAGAAUAUUCUGAUGUGGGUUUUUUAGGCAAUGAACGUUUUCUUUAAGCUUUCAGAUUUUAUUUUGUUAAAAUAAAUUUCUUUGUGUUAUAUAUUUUGUAAGUCUCUUUCGUUAGCUUGAAAUUGAAUUCUGGGUUCAAGAGGUUAUUGUAUUAAGUAACUAUGUGUUUUGCUUGCUUCAGUGUUUGUAUCGGUGCUGCAGUUAUUCACUUUCCUUCUGAUUUGAUACAAUCAAACUAAAAAAAAGAAGGAAAAAAAUUUUUUUUCACAAAAGUUACUAUAAUAUUUUUCUUUUUAUGGGUGAUAGUUUGUUGAUUAUUCAUUAUUUCAGUGUCAAUUCUUUAUUUUUGGCUUAAGUUAAACAGGCAUUGAAAAACCAAUACUUGCUUGCAAAAGAAGAACCAUAUCAGUUCUACGUGCCUUUUGAUUCUUCAAUUGUUAUCAAAUGCUUGCUCAUGUUGUCCAGAUGUUCCCAAAUGAUGUUUCCUUGGGCGAUAUCAUUGACGCUGCAAAGUCUUUCAGGUUUGUUAUUCGGUUUUUCUCACUUAGAGGUUGAAUCACAAUUUAUCAUAUGUUUAUUUUUGCAUAAGUGUGCAUGUGUAGUAGUAUAAGGCUGUUAAAGGGAAUAUAAUUUGUCAGUUUUUAUACAUAGCAAACCCUAAGUGUGAUUUCUUGGAAAAGCAGAAGUCCAAUAAUGGACUAUACACGUUCCUCUUUUAUCAUUACUCAUAUCUUAGCCUAAAUUACUCUUGUUGUUUCUGUGCUAAAAGUAAUGCUGCUAAUAUCUAGUUCUGGCCAACUUUUGCUGAGCUGUUUGCAAUAAUUGUUGUAUACGCAUUUAUGUAAAGGUACAUUUUUUCUUGGGCCUUAAUUCACUUACCAUGUAGUUCUCUCCUGAAUCAUGUUUCUGUCCCAUUUAUAAAUGUUAGGCUAUGAUUUGAAUUGCCUUGUUAAGGAAGCAUUAUCUAUUGAAAUGUUGCUGGCAGCUAUCCUCUAACUUAAGGGUGCAGGAGACACGGUCUUCAUUGGAGUGGUUUGUGGGAAAAGUACAAGACAUGAUUAUCUAAAUACUUUGAGACGAUCUAUAGUGAAGGGUUCAAAUGAAUCAAGGUGAGAGGUUUAAAGAAGCUGAUCAGUUUUGCACUUCAUUGCCUUUGUCAUAUAAAAGUUUUAAUCUCUAUUCACCCACCAAAAAGGAGGAAUAGGAAAGAGAAUUGCAAAAGUGGAAGCUUUUUUACAUUUGCAUAAUGCCUGAUGCAGGCAUACGUUUAAGUACUUAGAGAGAGAUGAGACAAUGGUAGCUCACUUGGUGGGGGAAUUGAUGCAUUCAUAAAGCUGUCUCAAAGUUAGCUGCUAUCAAAAUCUCUAUUCAAUGUUGUAUAUACUUUCUAAAAUUUGAAGUCUAUGUUCCAAAUUCUGAGGAAAUCAUUGGUAGAGAUAUCACCGGGAUCGGAUCUCGGUACAAUAUACAUCUCAACACCUGUGGAGAAAUGUUAGUUAUGUUUCUGUUAGUAGCUUUUGUACUAGUGUAAUUUUUAUUACAAAAAUCAGUCAUGUAGGGUGCCUAGUGAUUUGAUUAUGAUAAUUGAUUUCCACGGUAAGAUGUACAAGUUUGGGUACUCCAGGACCAGAUCUCCAUUGCAGUGAUGUGGAAAGUUCAAGGAAAACGUUGUCAAGGGUCAUAAAUAUUGUGAAAGAAUUAACUCUAGCAUUUGUUUUUAAUUUACACUAGAUCUUCUGUCUGCUCGUGAGUAACGGGUUUUGCUUGUUUUCAUGACUUUUUCUUUAAAUUUAUCAUCACUAUUCACAAUGAUAUAUAUGAAUGAUAAUUAAAGAUAUAUUAAAAGAUAAUGACAAGAAAGUAUUGAGUUGUUCAGCUUUAAUUAUUUGGCACAGGCAAUGAGUCAAUGAGGGCAAAUGCUAUUGGCAGUUGUGUUGUGCUCAACCAUGGAGGAGGUUGCGCGGUAGACAAGAUGCUCAUGGAGUUUGCUUCACCGUCAAUAAUCCAUAUGAUACUUCUAUUUGUUGUUAUCCUCGUUAAUUCAUUUUUAAUUUUAUUAUUAUUUAUCUUUUUAAAAAUUGAUUUUACUAGAAUUCUGAUCAAUUUUGCUUUUCUAAUUUAAAUACUGUCUUUUAUGGUUUCUUUAUGCCUUGUAUAUUGGUGCACAGUAUGAUGCAUUUAACUUGAUAUACAUAAGAUGCACAAUAUGAUACAUUUAAUUUGAUAUUGCAUUACAGGUAGAAGACUUUAGGCAGCAGGGAACUAAGAUGAGAAGAAAGAUGUGGCUUCAGAAUAUGAAGAUAAAAUUGAUUGUUUUGGGUAUCCUUAUUGCCCUGAUUCUUAUCAUUGUGCUGUCAGUCUGCCACGGCUUCAAAUGUUAAUCUGUCUUGGAUUUCCCUCGUACCGCUCUUGCUGCCAGGGAUGUCUUGAUAGAUUGGUUUGUCUUACUUGUUUUUUUAGGGCAUAUAUUUCUCCCUUUGCUUGCGGUUUAGGAUAGGGGGAGGCUUUGUAUCUUGGUUGGCUGUAUAGGUUAUAGUUUGAACUUGUUACGGUAGAUAAAAAUUUCUAUGGAGGAUUUCUUCUUUAUACUGUGAUGGGGGUAUACUCGGAUUCCUGCAUAUCAUAUUUGUCCUUUUGAAAUGUUAUUAAUCUGUUUUUUUGGUUUUUGUCGCUUAUCAUGUAAAUCCUUUUGUAUGCAUUUCUCUUUUAGACGUAAGAGGAGACAGUUGGUUUUGUAAAAUUUUUUAAUGCUUAGGAGCCUAUGGUUGCAUGAGUAGCUCGGUGUCUUUGCCUUCCGCAGAGAAGGUCUUCAGCUCUAAUGAUUAGAGCGAUGUGUAUGAUUGAUUUUCCCCGCUCCCCUUGAAGUCUUGUUUUGAGGAUCUAUUCUUUCUCCAGAGAGAAAUUUGGGGAAUAAGUAAAGAAUUUUGAUGAAGGGUUGUUUUGUCAAAAAAUAAAAAACUAGUUUGACUACGAAACAAAUCGAAUUUUAUACGGUAGUUGGUUCUUUUUCGAUUUUACAUUAUUCCAAUAAAAGGAGUUAGCAUAUUUUUGCUUGAAAACAAUCCAAUUUGAGUUUCUAACCUUAAAUCGAGUUUGAGCAAUGAAAAUUAAUGUCUACAUGAACAGAUUAUAAUAUGUGAACAACUGUAGCAAUGAUGUGUUUUGUGCAUAAUAUGUUGAGAUUAGAUCCCACUAUUAGAAAAACUAAUGUCUAACUCAAAUUUUAACAUUUUGAAAUUCUUUCAAUAUUAAAUACUUGAAAACCUUAUGUCCGUUGUUGGCUGGAUCGUCUUUGUCCCAUUAUCCUCUCUAACCCAUCCUUUUUACGUGUUUUAAAAUUAUAAAUAAUAUAUAUAUAUAUAUUUAUAUAUUGUAAAACAAAAAAAUUAUAAUAAUUAAUAUUUUAUAAAUGAAAAUAAAAGAUUACAAAAGUAAUCUGUUAUAACAAUUAAAUAUCUUUAAUUAUAAUUAUUCUCAAUCAUAAUUUCUUAUUGCAGUCAAUACCCAAUUGAAUUUUGGUUCAAGUAAGAAAGAUAAGAUGCAUUUUGAAUAGAAAUUUUAAAUUCAAAUCAUAGAGAUCAUCACGAAAAAAAGAAAAAAAUAAAAAUUUCGUAUAGUUUACAGAGAAAUCCCAGCAAAGAAUAUGACGUCGUUUAUUUUUAAUCACUUGCAAUGAGUGAAAUGACGUCGUUUCCUUCUUGAAGCUUAUUUCUCUCCUACCACACGGUGUCGUUUUAUCAAGUGAUAAAAGCAUCCCUUGAAACCUCAGCCUGCUUCUUUUUCCCCGCUUGUCUGGCUAGGACUCUUACCGAGCCGCACCACCUCUCUUCCACGAUGGUUCCUGGGUUUCUCUCCCGGCCUUCCGUUCUCGAGCCGCAACUCCUGAUCACUUGCUUUAGCUUACUUUAGACGCUAACCAAACAAGAUAGCUUUUUUUCAACGCCAAAUUGCCCAACACUCUAAAAACCGUUCCCUUAUCUCACAAAUCUUAGAUCUCAGAUUUCAGAUAUCAAAUAUCAGAUCGUUUCUUACUUUCCUUGAAGAAAUUGUGUUGUGAUGGCCGAUUUUCGUCUUCAAGGUAUUUGUCAAUCUCAAUUCACAGAGAUUGCUGCUGAAAGAGCUAAAGUAGCUGCGGAAGAAUAUUUCAAGUUGGGAAACAUCGACAGGGCUAUUCAGCAAGGGUUCGCAGCACUCGAUUUGAACCCCAAUUUACGGAUCGUGCAGAAGUACAUUGCCGCCUAUUUGAUUCACAAGUUUGCUUCUAUGUUAAGUCUUUGCCAGAAAAUGAAGGUAGACGAUACCAAAGUUCUGUACUCCAUUCUUUUUAUCGAAGAUUGUUCUGCCGUAGUUGAUGCUGCGACUAUUAGAAAACACUACAAAGAAGUGGUACUAUUGGUCCAUCCGGACAAGAAUGAUUCAGUUGCAGCAGAUGGUGCUUUCAAGAUCGUUCGUCAGGCUUGGGAAACUCUCUUAUCUGAUCACAACAAAAGAAGAAAGACUCUACGAAGAUGAAGUUCUUUGGUUUGGAUUAGAUUCAUUUUGAUAUGUAUUCAAAUUUUUUAUGAAUAAUAUGUAGUUAGUUUUUAUUUUGUUCUGAUUUUGUUACUUUUCUUAGAUUCAAUUUGAUUUGAUUUUUAGUGUCAGUCCAAUUUCAUAAUUAAUCACAAUUAUGAUUAAGCAUUCCAAGUUAAAAUGCUACCAUCAUCAAUCCAUAAUAUAAUAUACAGAGUAAAUUGAAGCAAAUUAUUUGAAGAACAUUCUGAUGUGGAUUUUUUAGGCAAUGAACAUUUUUUUAAGUUUUUAGAAUUUUUUUGGUUAAUUUUGUUAAAAUAAAUUGCUUUGUGUUAUAUAUUUUGUAAGUCUUUUUUGUUAGUUUGAAAUUGAAUUCUGGGUUCAAUAUGUUAUUGUAUUAAGAAACUAUGUGUUUUGCUUGCUUUAGUGUUUGUAUCGGUGCUGCAGUUGUUCACUUUCCAUACAAUCAAAUUAAAAAAAAAAGGGAAAAAAAUCAAAAUUUUCACAAAAGUUACCGUAAUAUAUUUCUUUUUAGGGGUGAUAGUUUGUUGAUUAUUCAUUAUUUCAAUGUCAAUUCUUUUUUUUUUUGGCUCAAGUUAAACAGGCAUUGAAAAACCAAUACUUGCUUGCAAAAGAAGAACCAUAUUGGUUCUAUGUGUCUUUUGAUUCUUCAAUUGUUAUCAAUUGCUUGCUCAUUUGUCCAGAUGUUCCCAAAUGAUGUUUACUUAGGCGAAAUCAUUGAUGCUGUAAAGUCUUUCAGGUUUGUUAUUCGGUUUUUCUCACUCAGAGGUUGAAUCACAAUUUAUCAUAUGUUUAUUUUGGCAUAAGUGUGCAUGUGUAGUGGUAAUAAGGCUGCUAAAGGGAAUAUAAUUUGUCAGUUUUUAUACAUAGCAAACCCUAAGUGUGAUUUCCUGGAAAAGCAGAAGUCCAAGAAUGGACUAUACACUUUCCUCUUUAUCUUUACUCAUAUCUUAGUGUUUUACUUUCCAAAAUGAAAGUUACCUCCAUCUCAACCUUACUGCUAUCUGCCCUAAAGACAACCUUACAUCCCAUUCAUAUCCAUUUAUUCAUCAAUUUAUGGUCGCAUCACAUGAUUUAUCUAUUAGCAACCAAUAUUCUUCUUUCAGACUUUCAGUCAAAGUUCUUAUUGACAGGAAGAGGUUUAACCUGAAACAGCAACCUGCCUGGCCUUCUUUUGGCUCAUUUGAACCUUUAACCUGUUUUCCUGGGCAGUCACCAUUGAUUAUAAGCCUAAAUUACUCUUGUUGUUUCUGUGCUAAAAGUAAUGCUGCUAAUGUCUAGUUCUGGCCAACUUUUGCUGAGCUGUUUGCAAUAAUUGUCGUAUACACAUUUAUGUAAAGGUACAUUUUUUCUUGGGCCUUAAUUCGCAUACCACGUAGUUCUCUCCUGAAUCAUUUUUUUGUCCCAUUUGUAAAUGUUAGGCUAUGAUUUGAAUUGCCUUGUUAAGGAGGCAUUAUCUAUUGAAAUGUUGCUGGCAGCUAUCCUCUAACUUAAGGGUGCAGGAGACACGGUCUUCAUUGGAGUGGUUGUGUUGGUUUAUCUGAAUCUUUACUGCAUAAGUGUCUGGUGAAAUGAAUCAAUAAAAAGAAGCAAAAUCAUUAAGGGGAUUUUUAGUGUGAAUGUGUAACUUAGGGGUGAUAAUGUUUUAUUUUUUCCUGUUUAAAUGAGAUGAUAAUGUUUUAUUUGAAUGUAUAUAGCAUGAAUCAGAAAAGUUGCGAUAAUGAGGGAUAUUGUAUCGUUUGAGGGUGGUGGUUGUCGGUUAUUUUGAUAGACAAAUGGAGGUAAUAUUUGGAUUCGGGUGCAUUAAUGAGAUGACUCUAAAAAUUAUGAGGUUAAUGUAGCAUAAGGUUCACAUAAUUUAUAAUGCCAUAAUCAUAAAUAAGCCCUUCACAUGUGAUAAAAUCCUCACUUAAGCCCUUAUUGUUUUGUUUGCGUCAAUUGAGUCCCCAACCUAUUAUUUUGAUGUCAAAUGAAUCCAAUUUGAAUGGGAAAUGCUGACAUCGCUAAAGGUGUGACUUAUUCCAACAUACAUGAGUUAAUUGGGGACAUUUGAAAUGUCAGCAUUUCCAUCUAAAUUGGAUUCAGUUGACACCAAAUGAUAGGUUGAUGGCUCGAUUGACACAAAUAAAAUAAUAAAGGCUUAAGUGAGAAUUUUACCAUAAUUUGAGAGCUUAUUUUGUUAUUAUGCCAUUUAUAAUUUACGAGAAGCAUUCUUGUCUGAAGUAUGUUUCAUUUUAAUUGUUACUUCUAUGCUUUUCCCUUUUCUCUUUUCCUUAGCUAGCCGCAUUUCAUGUUGAUUUUUUCCGGCCCUCCCAAAAGUCAAUGUCUGUUUGAUGUUUCCAUUCCUGCAUCUAUAUGUGCUUUGGAUCUGGAUUGGUUCCAAGGACCAUGCAUGGAAGUUAGUUCUAUGCUGAUGUUACCAAAUGAAUGCUUAAUAUGUAGUAAAGAAUGAUGUUGAAAAGCAAAAGGAUCUUGUGAAGACGUAACUAGUAUCAAACAUGGUAAACUGAGCAGCACCUGCCGACACAUUGUUAGUUACGUGUUUUGUCAAGGACCUCACCCUCUAAUCAUACCCAUGGAUGAGGCAUAUCCAGGUCACUGUCUGAUUGAUCAAUUGCAGCUGGCUGCUGCUUUUUAGCUUCUCUGUGGGUGCAUGUGUUAACAAGUGUGUGCAUAUUGAUGUUAGUUUUAAAGCUGUCGAUGAUAUGCAUAAUGGAUUACAUUUAGAAAAGAAAACGGAGAGAAGGUUAUUUUUUUUAUCUAAGCAUGUUGGUUUUGAUCAUAGAUCUGGAUGCUGACUUCUGGUUUGAAUUUGUUGAAUGUGGCUUUAGUAGGAAAUGAAUGCUUAUUGCCGUAAAUCCUGAUUUCUUUAAUUGUUCUCAUACUCAUUUUGUCAAAUACAUUUGGUGCUGCAGCCUACUGUGUAGUAGCAGUUGAAUCUGCUGGCAGGCAAGUUCCAAUUGCAUUUCUGGAACGAGUCAAGGAAGACUUCAACGAGACAUAUGGUGGAGGAAAAGCUGCAACUGCUCCCCCGGAUAGCGUGAAUAGAGAAUUUGGGUAUUUAACUGUCUUUAUUUUUCUCGUAGAUUUAUUGUUCACUUCUUCGUGACAUGCUUAGCUCUUUAUACAUAAUAGGUCCAAAUUGAAGGAGCAUAUGCAGUAUUGUGUGGACCAUCCUGAAGAGAUCAGCAAACUUGCCAAAGUGAAGGCUCAAGUUUCUGAAGUCAAGGGUGUUAUGAUAGAAAACAUUGAGAAGGUAAUAGGCUGCUGCUGAUGUUGUAGCUGUUCUAGAGGUAGUUUGAGGGUUAAAACAUGAUAAGAUGCACAUCCAGCUUCUGCAAGUUGCUAGACGCGUUAUAAAAUUGAAAGCACUUCAGAUAUAUUGCAUGUGGUGUGUUGUUUUGUUAGUAACAUUUGGCUUUGGCCAGGUCCUUGAUCGUGGUGAGAAAAUUGAGUUGCUGGUGGAUAAAACGGAGAACCUUCGCUCACAGGUUAGUCAUAUUCAAACUGCAUUUUAUGGGUAACUGAAACAAUGACUUAAUUGUGUUUUGGUGAAGCCAUUGCCUUUCAAAGUUGGUUUUAAAACUUAUUAGGAUUCUGAUCAAUUUCGGUUUUCUAAUUUAAAUACCGUCUUUUAUGGUUUCUUGAUGCCUUGUAUAUUGGCGCACAGUAUGAUGCAUUUAACUUGAUAUACGUAAGAUGCAGAAUAUGAUACAUUUAAUUUGAUAUUGCAUUACAGGCGCAAGACUUUAGGCAGCAGGGAACUAAGAUGAGACGAAAGAUGUGGCUUCAGAAUAUGAAGAUAAAAUUGAUUGUUUUGGGUAUCCUUAUUGCUCGAUUCUUAUCAUUGUGCUGUCAGUCUGCCAUGGCUUUAAAUGUUAAUCUGUCCUGGAUUUCCCGGGUACAGCUCUUGCUGCCCGGGUUGUCUUGAUAGAUUGGUUUGUCUUACAUGUUUUUGAAGGGCAUAUAUUUCUCCCUUUGCUAGCCUUUUAGGAUAGGGGGAGGCUUUGUAUCUUGGUUGGCUGUAUAGGUUAUAGUUUGAACUUGUUGCGGUAGAUAAAAAUUUCUACGGAGGAUUUCUUCUUUAUAUUGUAAUGGGGGAAUACUCGGAUGCCUGCAUAAUGUUAUUAAUCUGUUUUUUUUUUUUCUCUCUCUCUUAUCAUGUAAAUCCUUUUAUAUGCUUUUCUUUAGAGGUAAGUGGACACAGUUGGUUUUGUUAAAUUUUUUAAUGCUUUGGAGCCUAUGGUUGCAUGAGUAGCUCGGUGUCUUUACCGUCCGCAUGGAAGGUCUUUAGCUCUAAUGAUUAGAGAGAUGUGUAUGAUUGAUUUUCCCCCGCUUACUUUGAAGUCUUGUUUUGAGGAUCUAUUCUUUCUCCAUAGAGAAAUUUGGGGAAUAAGUAAAGAAUGUUGAUGAGGGGUUGUUUUGUUAAAAAAAAGAAAAAAGUUUGUUAAAAAAUUAGUUUUACUAUAAAAACAAAUCGAAUUUUAUUUGACAAUUGGUUCCCUUUCGAUUUUACAUUAUUCAAAUAAAAAGAGUUAGAUUAUUUUUGCUUGAAAACGACUCAAUUUGUGUUUCUAAUGAUACAAACUAUUAAGAACAGUGUAAAUCGAGUUUGAGUAAUGGAAACUAAUGUCCAUAGAACAGAUUAUAAUAUAUAAAAAAUUGUAGCAAUGAUGUGAAGUAGAAGCACUACUGUCUUCGCGGUUUUGUACAUAAUAUGCUAAGAUUAGAUGCCACAAUUGAAAAAAUUAAGGCUUAAUACAAAUUUUAACAUUUUUGAAUUUUUUCAAUAUUAAAUAUCUAAAAACCUGAUGCCUGUUGUUGGCUGGAGCAUCCUUGUCCCAUUAUCUCUUUGACCCACCUGUUUACGUGCUUAAAAUAUAUAUAUAUAUAUAUAUAUAUUAUAUAACAAAGUAAUUUUUUGUAAUUGAUAUUUUAUAAAUAAAAAUAAAAGAUUACAGAAGUAGUUAGGUACAAUAAUUAAAUACUUUUAAUUAUAAUUAUUCUCAAUCAUAAUUUCUUAUUGCAAUCAACACCAAUUUGAAUUUUGGUUCAAAUAAGAAAGAUAAGAUGCAUUUUGAGUAGAAAUUUUAAAUUCAAAUCAUAGAGUUCAUAAAGAGAAAAAGAAAAAAUAAAAAUUUCGUAUAAUUUACAGAGAAAAUGACGUGGUUUAUUGUCAAUGGCUUGAAAUGAGUUACAUGACGUCGUUUCCUUCUUAAUGCUUAUUUCUCUCCCCUCACACGGUGUCGUUUUACCAAGCAAUAAAUGCAUCCCGUGAAACCCUGGCCUGUUUCUUUUUCUUCCUUGUCUGGCUAGGACUCUAACCGAGCCGCACCACAUCUCUUCCACGAUGGUUCCUGGGUUUCUCUCUCGACCGUCCUUUUCACUUGCCUUAGCUUGUUUUAGACGCCAACCAAACGAAAUAGCGUCUUUUCAACGCCAAAUUGCCCAACACUAUAAAAACCGUUCCCUUAUCUCACAAAUCUUAGAUCUCAGAUUUCAGAUAUCAAAUCUCGGAUCGUUUCUUACUCUCUUUGAAGAAAUUGUGUUGCGAUGGCUGAUUUUCGUCUUCAAGGUAUUUUUCAAUCUCAAUUCACAGAGAUUGCUGCUGAAAGAGCUAAAGUAGCUGCAGAGGAAUACUUCAAGUCGGGAAACAUCGACAGGGCUAUUCAGCAAGGGUUCGCAGCACUCGAUUUGAACCCCAAUUUACGGAUCGUGCAGAAGUACAUUGCCGCCUAUUUGAUUCACAAGUUUGCUUCUAUGUUAAGUCUUUGCCAGAAAAUGAAGGUAGACGAUACCAAAGUUCUGUACUCCAUUCUUUUUAUCGAAGAUUGUUCUGCCGUAGUUGAUGCUGCGACUAUUAGAAAACACUACAAGGAAGUGGUACUAUUGGUCCAUCCGGACAAGAAUGAUUCAGUUGCAGCAGAUGGUGCUUUCAAGAUCGUUCGUCAGGCUUGGGAAACUCUCUUAUCUGAUCACAACAAAAGAAGAAAGACUCGAUGAAGAUGAAGUUUUUUGGUUUGGAUUAGAUUCAUUUUGAAUGUAUUCAAAUUUUUUUAUGAAUAAUAUGUAGUUACUUUUUAUUUUGUUCUGAUUUUGUUACUUUUUUUAGAUUCAAUUUGAUUUUGAUUUUUAGUGUCAGUCCAAUUUCAUAAUUGAUCACAAUUAUGAUUAAGCAUUCCAAGUUAAAAUGCUACCAUCAUCAAUCCAUAAUAUAAUAUACAGAGUAAAUUGAAGCAAAUUAUUUGAAGAAUAUUCUGAUGUGGGUUUUUUAGGCAAUGAACUUUUUCUUUAAGAUUUUAGAUUUUUUUUUGUUUAAUUUUGUUAAAAUAAAUUGCUUUGUGUUAUAUAUUUUGUAAGUCUUUUUCGUUAGUUUGAAAUUGAAUUCUGGGUUCAAGAGGUUAUUGUAUUAAGAAACUAUGUGUUUUGCUUGCUUCAGUGUUUGUAUCGGUGCUGCAGUUAUUCACUUUCUUUCUGAUUUGAUACAAUCAAACUAAAAAAAUAAAAUUUUCACAAAAGUUACUAUAAUAUAUUUCUUUUUAUGGGUGAUAGUUUGCUGAUUAUUCAUUCUGUCAAUGUCAGUUCUUUUUUGGCUCAAGUUAAACAGGCAUUGAAAAACCAAUACUUGCUUGCAAAGAACCACAUUGAUUCUACGUGUCUUUUGAUUCUUCAAUUGUUAUCAAAUGCUUGCUCAUUUUGUCUAGAUGUUCCCAAAUGAUGUUUACUUGGGCGAUAUCAUUGAUGCUGCAAAGUCUUUCAGGUUUGUUAUUCGGUUUUUCUCACUUAGAGGUUGAAUCACAAUUUAUCAUAUGUUUAUUUUUGCAUAAGUGUGCAUGUGUAGUAGUAUAAGGCUGUUAAAGGGAAUAUAAUUUGUCAGUUUUUAUACAUAGCAAACCCUGAGUGUGAUUUCUUGGAAAAGCAAAAGUCCAAUAAUGGACUAUACACGUUCCUCUUUUAUCAUUACUCAUAUCUUAGCCUAAAUUACUCUUGUUGUUUCUGUGCUAAAAGUAAUGCUGCUAAUAUCUAGUUCUGGCCAACUUUUGCUGAGCUGUUUGCAAUAAUUGUUGUAUACACAUUUAUGUAAAGGUACAUUUUUUCUUGGUCCUUAAUUCAUGUACCAUGUAGUUCUCUCCUGAAUCAUUUUUUUGUCCCAUUUGUAAAUGUUAGGCUAUGAUUUGAAUUGCCUUGUUAAGGAAGCAUUAUCUAUUGAAAUGUUGCUGGCAGCUAUCCUCUAACUUAAGGGUGCAGGAGACACGGUCUUCAUUGGAGUGGUUUGUGGGAAAAGUACAAGACAUGAUUACCUAAAUACUUUGAGACGAUCUAUAGUGAAGAGUACAAAUAAAUCAAGGUGAUAGGUUUAAAGAAGCUGAUCAGUUUUGCACUUCAUUGCCUUUGUCAUAUAAAAGUUUUAAUCUCUAUUCACCCACCAAAAAGGAGGAAUAGGAAAGAAAAUUGCAAAAGUGGAAGCUUUUUUACAUUUGCAUAAUGCCUGAUGCACGCAUACGUUUAAGCACUUAGAGAGAGAUGAGACAAUGGUAGCUCACUUGGUGGGGGAAUUGAUGCAUUCAUAAAGCUGUCUCAAAGUUAGCUGCUAUUAAAAUCUCUAUUCAAUGUUCUAUAUACUUACUAAAAUUUGAAGUCUAUGUUCCAAAUUCUGAGGAAAUCAUUGGUAGAGAUAUCACCUGGAUCGGAUCCUGGUACAAAUACAUCUCAACACCUGUGGAGAAAUGUUAGUUAUGUUUCUGUUAGUAGCUUUUGUACUAGUGUAAUUUUCAUUACAUAAAUCAGUCAUGUAGGGUGCCUAGUGAUUUGAUUAUGAUAAUUGAUUUCCACGGUAAGAUGUACAAGUUUGGGUACUCCAGGACCAGAUCUCCAUUGCAGUGAUGUGCAAAGUUCAAGGAAAACUUUGUCAAGGGUCAUAAAUAUUGUGAAAGGGUUAACUCUAGCAUUUGUUUUUAAUUUACACUAGAUCUUCUGUCUGCUCGUGAGUAACGGGUUUUGCUUGUUUUCAUGACUUUUUCUUUAAAUUUAUCAUCACUAUUCACCAUGAUAUAGAUGAAUGAUAAUUAAAGAUAUAUUAAAAGAUAAUGACAAGAAAAUAUUGAGUUGUUCAGCUUUAAUUAUUUGGCACAGGCAAUGAGUCAAUGAGGGCAAAUGCUAUUGGCAGUUGUGUUGUGCUCAACCAUGGAGGAGGUUGCGCGGUAGACAAGAUGCUCAUGGAGUUUGCUUCACUGUCAAUAAUCCCUAUGAUACUUCUAUUUGUUGUUAUCCUCAUUAAUUCAUUUUUAAUUUUAUUAUUAUUUAUCUUUUUAAAAAUUGAUUUUACUAGAAUUCUGAUCAAUUUUGCUUUUCUAAUUUAAAUACUGUCUUUUAUGGUUUCUUUAUGCCUUGUAUAUUGGUGCACAAUAUGAUGCAUUUAACUUGAUAUACAUAAGAUGCACAAUAUGAUACAUUUAAUUUGAUAUUGCAUUACAGGUACAAGACUUUAGGCAGCAGGGAACUAAGAUGAGAAGAAAGAUGUGGCUUCAGAAUAUGAAGAUAAAAUUGAUUGUUUUGGGUAUCCUUAUUGCCCUGAUUCUUAUCAUUGUGCUGUCAGUCUGCCAUGGCUUCAAAUGUUAAUCUGUCUUGGAUUUCCCUUGUACCGCUCUUGCUGCCUGGGUUGUCUUGAUAGAUUGGUUUGUCUUACUUGUUUUUUUAGGGCAUAUAUUUCUCCCUUUGCUAGCCUUUUAGGAUAGGGGGAGGCUUUGUAUCUUGGUUGGCUGUAUAGGUUAUAGUUUGAACUUGUUACGGUAGAUAAAAAUUUCUAUGGAGGAUUUCUUCUUUAUAUUGUAAUGGGGGAUUACUCGGAUGCCUGCAUAUCAUAUUUGUCCUUUUGAAAUGUUAUUAAUCUGUUUUUUUGUUUUUCUCGCUUAUCAUGCAAAUCCUUUUAUAUGCAUUUCUCUUUUAGAGGUAAGAGGACAAGGUUGGUUCUGUAAAAAUUUUUAAUGCUUAGGAGACUACGGUUGCAUGAGUAGCUCAGUGUCUUCGCCUUCCGCAGGGAAGGUCUUUAGCUCUAAUGAUUAAAGCGAUGUGUAUGAUUGAUUUUCUCCCACUACCUUUGAAGUCUUGUUUUGAGGAUCUAUUCUUUCUACGGAGAGAAAUUUGGGGAAUAAGUAAGGGAUGUUGACGAAUGGUUGUUUUGUCAAAAAAAAAAAAAAAUGGUUUGUUAAAACACUAGUUUGACAACGAAACAAAUUGAAUUUUAUUUGGUAGUCGGUUCGAUUUUUCUUUAUUAAAAUCAAAGGCGUUAGUAUAUUUUUGCUUGAAAACGAUUUAAUUUGAGUUUUUAAUCGUAAAUCGAGUUUGAGUAAUGGAAACUAAUGUCCACAAGAAUAUAUUAUAAUAUAUGAAAAAUUGUAGCUAUGAUGUGAAGCAAAAGUACUAUUGUGCUCAUGAUUUUGUAUAUAAUAUGUUGAGAUUAGGUCCUACUAUUAGAAAAAUUAAAAUUUAAUUCAAAUUUUAACAUCUUGAAAUUCGUUCAAUAUUAAAUACUUAAAAACUUAAUGCCCGCUGUUAACUGAAUCAUCUUUGUAUCAUUAUCCUCUCUAAUCUUUUUUUUUUUGCUUAAAAUAUAUAUAUAUAUUAUAUAACAAAAGAUUUUUAAUAGUUGGUAUUUUAUGAAUGAAAACAAAAGACUACAAAGUAGUCUGUUAUAACAAUUAAAUACCUUUAAUUAUAAUUAUUCUCUAUCAUAGUUUCUUAUUGCAAUUAAUACCAAAUUGAAUUUUGAUUCAAGUAAGAAAGAUAAGAUGCGUUUUGAGUAGAAAUUUUAAAUUCAAAUUAUAGAGUUCAUCACGAGAAAGAGAAACAAUAAAAUUUCGUAUAAUUUACAAAAAAAAUGACGUCGUUUAUUAUUAAUCACUUGAAAUGAAUGGCAUGACGACGUUUCCUUCUUAAUGCUUAUUUCUCUCCUGCUACACGGUGUCGUUUUACCAAGUAAUAAAAGCAUCCCUUGAAACCCUAGCCUCUUUCUUUUUCUCCGCUGGUCUCGGUAAGACUCUAACCGAGCCGCACCACCUCUCUUCCACGAUGGUUCCUGGGUUUCUCUCCCGGCCCUCCUUUCUCGAGCCGCAACUCCUGAUCACUUGCCUUCGCUUGUUUUAGACGCCAAGCAAACAAGAUAGCUUUUUUCCAACGCCAAAUUGCCCAACAAUAUAAAAACCCUCCCUUUACUCACAAAAUCUUAGAUCUCAGAUUUCAGAUAUCAAAUCUCAGAUCGUUUCUUACUCUCUUUGAAGAAAUUGUGUUGCGAUGGCUGAUUUUCGUCUUCAAGGUAUUUGUCAAUCUCAAUUCACAGAGAUUGCUGCUGAAAGAGCUAAAGUAGCUGCAGAGGAAUACUUCAAGUCGGGAAACAUCGACAGGGCUAUUCAGCAAGGGUUCGCAGCACUCGAUUUGAACCCCAAUUUACGGAUCGUGCAGAAGUACAUUGCCGCCUAUUUGAUUCACAAGUUUGCUUCUAUGUUAAGUCUUUGCCAGAAAAUGAAGGUCGACGAUACUAAGGUUCUGUACUCCAUUCUUUUUAUCGAAGAUUGUUCUGCCGUAGUUGAUGCUGCGACUAUUAGAAAACACUACAAAGAAGUGGUACUAUUGGUCCAUCCGGACAAGAAUGAUUCAGUUGCAGCAGAUGGUGCUUUCAAGAUCGUUCGUCAGGCUUGGGAAACUCUCUUAUCUGAUCGCAACAAAAGAAGAAAGACUCGAUGAAGAUGAAGUUUUUU